UGGGGAAUAUUGGACAAUGGGCGAAAGCCUGAUCCAGCCAUGCCGCGUGUGUGAAGAAGGUCUUCGGAUUGUAAAGCACUUUAAGUUGGGAGGAAGGGCAGUAAGUUAAUACCUUGCUGUUUUGACGUUACCAACAGAAUAAGCAACGGCUAACUUCGUGCCAGCAGCCGCGGUAAUACGAAGGGUGCAAGCGUUAAUCGGAAUUACUGGGCGUAAAGCGCGCGUAGGUGGUUCAGCAAGUUGGAGGUGAAAUCCCCGGGCUCAACCUGGGAACUGCCUCCAAAACUACUGAGCUAGAGUACGGUAGAGGGUAGUGGAAUUUCCUGUGUAGCGGUGAAAUGCGUAGAUAUAGGAAGGAACACCAGUGGCGAAGGCGACUACCUGGACUGAUACUGACACUGAGGUGCGAAAGCGUGGGGAGCAAACAGG
rnacentral:rRNA from 1 species